UGGGGAAUAUUGCACAAUGGGCGCAAGCCUGAUGCAGCCAUGCCGCGUGUAUGAAGAAGGCCUUCGGGUUGUAAAGUACUUUCAGCGGGGAGGAAGGCGAUAAGGUUAAUAACCUUGUCGAUUGACGUUACCCGCAGAAGAAGCACCGGCUAACUCCGUGCCAGCAGCAGCGGUAAUACGGAGGGGGCAAGCGUUAAUCGGAAUUACUGGGCGUAAAGCGCACGCAGGCGGUCUGUCAAGUCGGAUGUGAAAUCCCCGGGCUCAACCUGGGAACUGCAUUCGAAACUGGCAGGCUAGAGUCUUGUAGAGGGGGGUAGAAUUCCAGGUGUAGCGGUGAAAUGCGUAGAGAUCUGGAGGAAUACCGGUGGCGAAGGCGGCCCCCUGGACAAAGACUGACGCUCAGGUGCGAAAGCGUGGGGAGCAAACA
rnacentral:rRNA from 1 species